CUCCUGGAAACGGGUGGUAAUGCCGGAUGCUCCGCCCCCUCGCAUGGGGGGGUCGGGAAGGCUUUUGCGGAAUGGGAUGGGGUCGCGUCCUAUCAGCUUGUUGGCGGGGCGACGGCCCACCAAGGCUUCGACGGGUAGCCGGCCUGAGAGGGCGACCGGCCACAUUGGGACUGAGAUACGGCCCAGACUCCUACGGGAGGCAGCAGUGGGGAAUAUUGCACAAUGGGGGGAACCCUGAUGCAGCGACGCCGCGUGCGGGAUGGAGGCCUUCGGGUCGUGAACCGCUUUUGAUUGGGAGCAAGCGUGAGUGAGUGUACCUUUCGAAUAAGCACCGGCUAACUACGUGCCAGCAGCCGCGGUAAUACGUAGGGUGCAAGCGUUGUCCGGAAUCAUUGGGCGUAAAGGGCUCGUAGGCGGUUCGUCGCGUCCGGUGUGAAAGCCCAUCGCUUAACGGUGGGUCUGCGCCGGGUACGGGCGGGCUUGAGUGCGGCAGGGGAGGCUGGAAUUCCCGGUGUAACGGUGGAAUGUGUAGAUAUCGGGAAGAACACC
rnacentral:rRNA from 1 species